rnacentral:rRNA from 1 species
UUGCUCAGUAACACGUGGACAACCUGCCCUGAGGACUGGAAUAAUCCCGGGAAACUGGGGGUAAUUCCAGAUAUGUCAGAACUCCUGGAAUGGGUUCUGGCAGAAAGGCUCCGGCGCCUCAGGAUGGGUCUGCGGCCUAUCAGGGUAGUAGUGGGUGUAACGUACCUACUAGCCUACGACGGGUACGGGUUGUGAGAGCAAGAGCCCGGAGAUGGAUUCUGAGACAUGAAUCCAGGCCCUACGGGGUGCAGCAGGCGCGAAAACUUUACAAUGCGGGCAACCGCGAUAAGGGGACCUCGAGUGCUGGGUUACAAACCUGGCUGUUGGGCUGCCUAAAAAGCAGUCUAUAGCAAGGGCCGGGCAAGACCGGUGCCAGCCGCCGCGGUAACACCGGCGGCUCGAGUGGUAACCGCUGUUAUUGGGUCUAAAGGGUCUGUAGCCUGCCGGCUAAGUCUCUUGGGAAAUCUGGCAUCUCAAGUGUCAGGCUGCCAGGGGAUACUGGUCAGCUUGGGACCGGGAGAGGUGAGAGGUACCUCAGGGGUAGGGGUGAAAUCUUGUAAUCCUUGAGGGACCACCAGUGGCGAAGGCGUCUCACCAGAACGGAUCCAACGGCAAGGGACGAAAGCUAGGGGCACGAACCGGAUUAGAUACCCGGGUAGUCCUAGCCGUAAACGAUACUCGCUAGGUGUCGGCCACGGUGCGACCGUGGUCGGUGCCGUAGGGAAGCCGUGAAGCGAGCCACCUGGGAAGUACGGCCGCAAGGCUGAAACUUAAAGGAAUUGGCGGGGGA